rnacentral:lncRNA from 1 species
GGUCUCUUCAGCAUAGCAACAGCAGCGUAGCUGAACAUCUUACGGAUGGCCCAGGGCUCCAAAGGCUCGUUUCCUAAGUGAGAGAGAGCCUGGCUGAAGCUGUAUUACCAUUCAUUCUCCAGCCUCCGAAGUCUCAAAGCAUCACUUCCACCAUACUCUAACUGUCAAGACAAACACAAAGGCCCAGAAACUGCCAGACUGUCUUCUGAAGUGGCUAUAAUAUUUACACUCCCAUCAGCAGUGUAGAAGGGGUCUCACUAUGUUGUCUGGAGUGCUGUGGUGGAGUGGAGUGGCUAUUCACAGAGCCUGUUCUGCUGGGACACAGAAUCACUUGCUCCAUCUCAUACAUUGAUGAUGAUUAAUUUGUAUGUGUACCUUCCAAAAAAGAUGGUUGUGUUUGAAUGGAGGCCUUCUGGACAGGAAAAUUGCAAAGUACAAUUAACAUUUGAGUCUGUCUGAGUCAUGAAGAAAUGGAGAUUACUGAAAAUAAUUCAUUUUGGUAUCUUCUUACAUCCUGAGAGACUAAUCUUUCCAAGUUCAUCUGAGGCUCCUCUUCUCCAUGACAACCUCAUCCAGGGAUUUCUUCCUGUCCUGGUGUUUUAUGACAUCAUCCUCAUCUCGCUUGUAAGGAUAAUAGCCUUCCUCCAAACCUCACACACUUUUGGAGGAGAUCACUUUUUUUAAAGUGCAUGGAAAUGUUUUGAAACAGUGAAAUCUAUAAUGAUAGGUUUCAUAAUUCUAACAUCCACACCAUAUGAAUCACAUCCUUCCUGAGAUAAUGAGCACACAAUUGCCUGGAUACCUGAAGGAAUGGAGACAGCGGCAGAAAACACUGCAGAGAGGUGGAAACAUCCGUUAAUAUUUUAAAAUCCCAUUACUGCUACCAACAAUAAUAAUGGAUGCAUAGAAAUAGAUCUGGAUUAGCUGAGCUUGAAACAGUCCAUCUCACACACACACAAAAGAAUUUCAGGUAAUGAAGAAAAGAAAAGGAAAAAAAUAACACAUGGCCUCUGUAACAUUGUUGCUUUUGAACCUUAUUGGAUUUGUGGCAAACUGGGUGCUUUUGGGACAUGAGUCUCCUACCACUCACCUGCCUCUGAGCUCUCCUCUGAGGCCGGUCACUGCCCAGAAGGGAUGCACCUGUCUUCUGUCCUGUGGUCUCUGGGUAGCCCCUGGGUCAGCAUUUUGGGUGCUAGCAUCUGAUGCAACUGCUACAGUUGCUGAUGAGAAAGUAGCUACCCUCCUCCACUCCACCCCUGCCGCCCAGGCCCUGCCACUCCUGCUAACCUGUCAGGCUACAUUUUCAAUUACUGGCUUUGAAAAAUGUCCAGGUGGAUUAAAUCAAUGAAUGCGAUGAGCUGAACACAA